rnacentral:rRNA from 1 species
AUGGCAGCUGCGACUGCAAGGCAGCUGUUGGUCCACAGGAUCACAUCCUCCUGCUCCUCAGGGACGCUUCCGAAGCACACUUCCAGUUGCUUCCAAGCCGGAGGCUGGAACAAGGCCGCGAAGCUCCCCAGUUUCAGGGCAAGGGUGACCGUGAAGCCGCCGUGCGCCGUGCCGGGGAAGGGCGGCAUUGUGCCGGCCGACGACGACGGGGUCAGCCUCGGCACCGUGAAGCUGCCGGCCAACAUCGACGUCGCUCGCUUCGAGGGGUUGCUCUUUCAGUGGGGGAACAGUCUCUGCCAAGGCGCCAUGUUGCCACUGCCAGUGCCUAUCAAGGUGGACAAGGUGGAGGGUGGGAUCAGGCUAGGGUUCAUCGGGAUCGACGACGGCGCGACCUCGCUGCUGGCCUACAUCGACUGCCUGGUGUCUCCGGCGACAGACGGCUCUGGGUUUGUGUUCCGAGCCAUCAGGAACGGUGCUAUGAAGGACAUGGAGCCGCCUGGGGAGCCCAGGAUCAUGAGGAGCCUCCUCAUGGCGCUUCAGAAGUCCAUUCAGAUUGCGCGAGUUUGA